rnacentral:lncRNA from 1 species
UUACAUAAAAGUCAAAGUUCGAUUUAUUUAUUUUUUCUUUAAUGUAUAAUUUAUAAAACGAACUAUCUCAAUAAUAAUUUAUAAGGUAUUAGAAUAAAAAAAUACUACUAAAAUAAAAAAAGAAAAAAGAAAAUUACGAUAACAUAAACUUUUUUUUUAAAUUGAAGACAUGCUCAUAUAUUAAGAAAUAUCAUCAGCAACAAUGUCCCUCAACCAGCUAGGGAAAUUACACGACCAACAAACAUAAUGCCUCACUCUACCAGCAUAUUUAGCAAGUUCAUGCACCGUCUUAUUAGCC